UACGAAGGGGGCUAGCGUUGUUCGGAUUUACUGGGCGUAAAGCGCACGUAGGCGGAUCUUUAAGUCAGAGGUGAAAUCCCAAGGCUCAACCUUGGAACUGCCUUUGAUACUGGGGAUCUUGAGUCCGGGAGAGGUGAGUGGAACUGCGAGUGUAGAGGUGAAAUUCGUAGAUAUUCGCAAGAACACCAGUGGCGAAGGCGGCUCACUGGCCCGGUACUGACGCUGAGGAGCGGAAAGCCAGGGGAGCAAACGGG
rnacentral:rRNA from 1 species